GGAUGUGAGGGCGAUCUGGCUGCGACAUCUGUCACCCCAUUGAUCGCCAGGGUUGAUUCGGCUGAUCUGGCUGGCUAGGCGGGUGUCCCCUUCCUCCCUCACCGCUCCAUGUGCGUCCCUCCCGAAGCUGCGCGCUCGGUCGAAGAGGACGGCCUUCCCCGAAUAGAGACGGACCGGUCUUCGGUCGAGGGUAUACGAGUAGCUGCGCUCCCCUGCUAGAACCUCCAAACAAGCUCUCAGGUCCAUUUUGUAGGAGAACGUAGGGUAGUCAAGCUUCCAAGACUCCAGACACAUCCAAAUGAGGCGCUGCACGUGGCAGUCUGCCUUUCUUU
rnacentral:snRNA from 1 species